ACACGUAGGGGGCGAGCGUUGUCCGGAAUUACUGGGCGUAAAGGGCGUGUAGGCGGCCAUGUAUGUCAGGUGUGAAAAGCCACGGCUCAACCGGGGCACUGCACAUGAAACUGCAUGGCUUGAGUGCAGGAGAGGGGAGUGGAAUUCCUAGUGUAGCGGUGAAAUGCGUAGAUAUUAGGAGGAACACCAGUGGCGAAGGCGACUUCCUGGACUGUAACUGACGCUGAGGCGCGAAAGCGUGGGUAGCAAACAGGAUUAGAUACCCUGGUAGUCCACGCUGUAAACGAUGGGUACUAGGUGUGGGUAGUUCACUCUAUCCGUGCCGCAGCAAACGCAAUAAGUACCCCGCCUGGGGAGUACGGCCGCAAGGUUGAA
rnacentral:rRNA from 1 species